UUUACCUACGGGAGGCAGCAGUGAGGAAUAUUGGUCAAUGGGCGGGAGCCUGAACCAGCCAAGUCGCGUGAGGGAAGACGGUCUUACGGGUUGUAAACCUCUUUUGCCGGGGAGCAACGGGGUCCUUGCGAGGGCCCGAUGAGAGUACCCGGAGAAAAAGCAUCGGCUAACUCCGUGCCAGCAGCCGCGGUAAUACGGAGGAUGCGAGCGUUAUCCGGAUUUACUGGGUUUAAAGGGUGCGUAGGCGGAUUGAUAAGUUAGAGGUGA
rnacentral:rRNA from 1 species